GUCGAACGCGAAAGGGGCUUCGGCCCUGAGUAGAGUGGCGAACGGGUGAGUAACACGUGGGUGAUCUACCUCUGAGUGGGGGAUAACGUUCCGAAAGGAGCGCUAAUACCGCAUGACGUUCCGGGUUUGAAGACCUGGAAACCAAAGCCGGGGACCGCAAGGCCUGGCGCUUGGAGAGGAGCCCGCGCCUGAUUAGCUAGUUGGCGGGGUAAUGGCCCACCAAGGCGACGAUCAGUAGCCGGCCUGAGAGGGCGGACGGCCACACUGGGACUGAGACACGGCCCAGACUCCUACGGGAGGCAGCAGUGGGGAAUUGUUCGCAAUGGGCGCAAGCCUGACGACGCAACGCCGCGUGGAGGAUGAAGGUCUUCGGAUUGUAAACUCCUGUUGAUCGGGACGAAUGGGCUCCGGGUGAAUACUCCGGGGCAGUGACGGUACCGAUUGAGGAAGCCACGGCUAACUCUGUGCCAGCAGCCGCGGUAAUACAGAGGUGGCAAGCGUUGUUCGGAAUUACUGGGCGUAAAGGGCGCGUAGGCGGCCUUGUCAGUCAGACGUGAAAUCCCCGGGCUUAACUCGGGAACUGCGUCUGAUACUACAAGGCUGGAGUUCGGGAGAGGGAUGUGGAAUUCCAGGUGUAGCGGUGAAAUGCGUAGAUAUCUGGAGGAACACCGGUGGCGAAGGCGGCAUCCUGGACCGAAACUGACGCUGAGGCGCGAAAGCCAGGGGAGCAAACGGGAUUAGAUACCCCGGUAGUCCUGGCCCUAAAC
rnacentral:rRNA from 1 species